rnacentral:rRNA from 1 species
GGCCUGCCCCCUGAGAUUUUAAAUGGCCGCGGUACUUUGACCGUGCAAAGGUAGCAUAAUAAUUAGUUUUUUAAUUGAAAGCUGGAAUGAAAGGUUGGAUGAGAAAAUGACUGUCUCUAUUUAGAUUAUUUAAAAUUUUAUUUUUAAGUAAAAAAGCUUAAAUAUAAAUAGAAGACGAGAAGACCCUAUAGAGUUUUAAUUUAGUUGGGGUGAUUGAAAAAUUUAAAAAACUUUUUUUUUAUAAAAUCAUUAAUUUAUGAGUAUUUGAUCCUUUUUUUAAAGAUUAAAAGUAAAAAUUACCUUAGGGAUAACAGCGUAAUUUUUUUAAAGAGUUCAAAUCGAAAAAAAAGAUUGCGACCUCGAUGUUGGAUUAAAAUUAAUUUUUGGUGUAGAAGCUAAG